ACCUUUUUUCGAAUACUUUCUCUCUCUACUGCAACUGGGUUUUUUUUUUUCUAAUGUCUUUAUAAGGACCGGUCUCGGACAGUUCUUGAAGAUCUUCUUCUUCUUCCUUUGUCGAAACAAAUAUCUCGCAAAUGGAUUCUCAUGCAUCGCUCUUUUGAUCUUAACAAAGCAAUAUAGAACUCUCUCUCUCUCUCUCUCUCUCUCUCUCUCUGUGUAGCGUAUUGCGAAGACAUGCAGAGGGUCUUCUAAGACAUCGUGAUUAACGUUGAGUAUGAGGUGCAAUAUCGGCCGAAAUGGACAAGUUCUGAAGAUAGUGUAACGCUUCAUCAGGAAUUACAGAAGAAGAAAGAGAAACAAUUAAAAAUCUUUUUUUUAGAGGCAAAAGAUAAGGGGGAAAAUGGCUCCGACGACGAACUGGUUAAAGUUUUCGCUGUCACCAAUGGAGAUGCUGAGGUCAUCUGAUCAGUCUCAGUUCGUGUCCUAUGACGCCUCUUCCGCCGCCUCUCCUCACUAUCUCAUCGAUAACUUCUAUGGGUGGACGAACCAGAAGCCCCGGGAAUUAUUCAAAGAAGAAGAGCAGAUAACAGCUUCCAUGGCGGAUUCAACCAUCCUCACCACCUUCGCCGACCCACAAACCCACGCCCAUAAUCCCAUCCCCAAGCUCGAAGAUUUUCUCGGCGACUCCUCUUCCAUCGUCCGUUACUCCUCCGACUGCCAAACCGAAACCCAAGACUCGUCCCUCACCCAAAUCUACGACACCCAUCGCCACCCAGCCGCCGCCGGUUUCUUCUCCGACCACCGUGCCAUAGCUGGGUUUCAGACAGCAUUCUCCGCAAACUCCGGCUCCGAGGUCGAUGACUCCACCUCCAUCGGCCGGACCCAUCUGGGCGCCGGCGAGUUUAUCGGCCACGUGGUGGAUUCAUCCGGUCAGGAGCUAGGUUUCCACGGCGGCGGAGCUUUUUCACGUGAGGCAAACAACAAGGCAAGGGCUGAUCCGUAUAGUGGUGGUAACGACAUCAAUGGUAAGACUGUUGCCGUGAACGAGAAGGCGGUAGUGGCUGUGGAAACGCCGGACUGCUCGAAGAAGAUCGCCGACACGUUCGGGCAACGGACUUCGAUUUUCCGAGGAGUCACUCGACACAGAUGGACGGGGAGAUAUGAAGCGCAUCUAUGGGAUAAUAGCUGUAGAAGGGAGGGUCAGGCCAGGAAAGGGCGUCAAGUGUAUUUAGGUGGAUAUGACAAGGAAGAGAAGGCGGCUCGAGCCUACGAUCUAGCUGCUCUUAAGUACUGGGGUCCGACUGCAACUACCAAUUUCCCGAUCUCGAAUUACACAAAAGAAAUGGAGGAAAUGAAACCCCUGACGAAGCAAGAGUUCAUUGCAUCCCUCAGGAGGAAGAGUAGCGGAUUCUCGAGGGGUGCCUCGAUAUACAGGGGUGUCACGAGGCAUCAUCAGCAGGGGCGUUGGCAGGCGAGGAUUGGCCGUGUUGCGGGUAACAAGGAUCUUUAUCUCGGAACAUUUGCGACGGAGGAAGAGGCGGCCGAGGCUUACGACAUUGCGGCCAUAAAGUUCAGAGGAGUAAAUGCCGUUACGAAUUUCGAGAUGAGUCGGUAUGACGUAGAGGCCAUCAUGAAGAGUUCUCUACCAAUCGGCGGUGUGGCCAAACGCCUCAAGCUCUCACUUGAAUCUUCCGAGCCAAAACCCACCAUGGGCCACCACCACCACCUGCAGCAGCAGCAGUUCGAGCCAUCGCCCGACCACAUCAACUUCGCCCUGGCCACCAACUCGCCGAUCCAGACUCAGAUCCCUUGCGGAAUCCCCUUUGAGGCUGCGGCUCUGUACCAUUACCAUAACCCGAGCCUCUUCCAACACUUGCCGAUCUCCGACUCGUCCGGGUCUAACUCCACAGUUCAGGCUCCUCCAAUGGCGCCGAACCCCGCUGAGUUCUUCUUGUGGCCGAACCAGUCUUACUAAUUACAUCAUCACCUCGUACCCAUAUGAAGUGAAGUGAAGUGAAGUGGUUAGUUCGGGUUUGUCGUUUUUUUAAUUGUUUUCCGGUAAGAGACUUAUGUCGGGUAGUUUUUAAGGGUACAAGUUGGAUCAGGGAGCUAACCGUUGCUGAGAGACACAAGGGAAGGGGCCUUUCUUCUUGCUUCCGGCUAACUCAUAAGCUGACCACAAAGCUUACUACAUCUUUUUUUUUUUUGUCUCUUCUCGUUAACCGUAGGUGCAAGUAGGGGGGAGGAAAAUGACAUAAACUCAAAGUUCUGGGGCCCUUUGUAUUAACUUUUAAUCUGGGUGGGUGGGAAGUUCUAGUUUCUGGAAGUUUAGGGGCGGUUUUGAGUUUUAAUUUUUGUAUGUAUCUGCUUAUCCUAUCGGUGCAAUUCUCUUUCAAUUUAAAGUUCUUCACUUGUCUUUGCAAAUUGAAUUCUCAUUUUUCUUCGCAUAACUGUCAAUCGUGGUUAAUAAAAAUAGGUUACAUGUGGGCCUCGCUGACUCGAUUGAUAAGAACAAGCUAAAUCCAAAAAAAUCUGAAAGUGUGGGGUUACAAUUGGAAAGCAUAAGUUUUCAAACUGACACGGACGUUAUGAACCGGGCCGGUUCAAGCCAUCACGAGCUGGGGCCAAACUCGGUUCGGUUUUCAAGGCCUCAUUGUAAGCCCAAUGGACCUUCUCCUUCAAGCCCUUGGACUCGUAACACGCGCCCAACGAACGAAAUAUCCUCGCCGUGCUGUCUCCUGCUCCGCCGCUGCCGGUUGCGGCGGUCGACAGUUCCGCCCCCUCCAGAUCCUCGAUCGCUGAAUCGAUUCGCCGCGAGCUAAAUCUCAGCCCUUUUCACCAGCGCCUCCGCUCGCUCUCCGUCCGUGAGUGACUUCACGCGCGGCUAGGUCAGAGCCAAAUCGAAUGACUUGAGCGCGGGGGUUCGGUGGUCGAGCAGAUCUAGCGCUAGGGAUCGGACGAUGUGAGCGGCCGCAUCGUCGGGGGAGAGAGAGAUCGCGGCCUCGGCCUGGGCGAGCGCGGACUUGGCCAAGGAGAGGGAGUGCGAUCGGCUGCUGAACACGGAAAUGGAAGAGGGGAAGGAGUAGCUGAACAUUGGCACUCUCUUUGUGGAGAGAUAUCCACAAUGGAUGAGAC